GGGUCAGUAGGUUGGUCGUGCCACCGGUACGUACUGGUCUCACUGAUUCCUCCUUCCUGAAGAACCGUAAUGCCAUUAAUUUGGUGUUGCGGGGAAACAGGACUGUUACUUUGAAAAAAUUAGAGUGUUUAAAGCAAGCUAACACUUGAAUACAUUAGCAUGGAAUAAUGAAAUAGGACGAUCGAUCCUAUUUUGUUGGCUUCUAGGAUUGACGUA
rnacentral:rRNA from 1 species